rnacentral:rRNA from 1 species
AGAGUUUGAUCCUGGCUCAGAUUGAACGCUGGCGGCAUGCCUAACACAUGCAAGUCGAACGGAAACGAUGGGAGCUUGCUCCCAGGCGUCGAGUGGCGGACGGGUGAGUAAUACAUAGGAAUCUACCCAGUAGCGGGGGACAACUUGGGGAAACUCAAGCUAAUACCGCAUACGCCCCACGGGGGAAAGCAGGGGAUCUUCGGACCUUGCACUAUUGGAUGAGCCUAUGUCAGAUUAGCUUGUUGGUGGGGUAACGGCCUACCAAGGCGACGAUCUGUAGCUGGUCUGAGAGGACGAUCAGCCACACUGGGACUGAGACACGGCCCAGACUCCUACGGGAGGCAGCAGUGGGGAAUAUUGCACAAUGGGCGAAAGCCUGAUGCAGCAAUGCCGCGUGUGUGAAGAAGGCCUGCGGGUUGUAAAGCACUUUCAGUAGGGAGGAAACAGUUGCGGGUUAAUAUCCCGUAGCCUUGACGUUACCUACAGAAGAAGCACCGGCUAACUCUGUGCCAGCAGCCGCGGUAAUACAGAGGGUGCAAGCGUUAAUCGGAAUUACUGGGCGUAAAGCGCGC